UACGUAGGGUGCAAGCGUUGUCCGGAAUUAUUGGGCGUAAAGAGCUCGUAGGCGGUUCGUCGCGUCGGCUGUGAAAACCCGAGGCUCAACCUCGGGCCUGCAGUCGAUACGGGCGGACUGGAGUUCGGCAGGGGAGACUGGAAUUCCUGGUGUAGCGGUGAAAUGCGUAGAUAUCUGGAGGAAUACCGGUGGCGAAGGCGGCAUCCUGGACCAACACUGACGCUGAGGCGCGAAAGCUAGGGGAGCAAACGGG
rnacentral:rRNA from 1 species